rnacentral:rRNA from 1 species
AGAGUUUGAUCAUGGCUCAGGACGAACGCUGGCGGCGUGCCUAACACAUGCAAGUCGAGCGGUUCUUAAGCUGUAGUUUACUAUAGCUUAAGAAUAGCGGCGAACGGGUGAGUAACACGUGGGCAACCUGUCCGAAAGAUCGGGAUAACAGUCCGAAAGGGCUGCUAAUACCGAAUAUGCUUACCAGGUCGCAUGAUCUGGUAAGGAAAGGUUGGCAACUUCUGCUUUCGGGUGGGCCCGCGUCCCAUUAGCUAGUUGGUAGGGUAACGGCCUACCAAGGCAACGAUGGGUAGCUGGUCUGAGAGGGUGGACGGCCACACUGGGACUGAGACACGGCCCAGACUCCUACGGGAGGCAGCAGUAGGGAAUAUUGCGCAAUGGACGGAAGUCUGACGCAGCGACGCCGCGUGAGCGAUGAAGGUCUUCGGAUCGUAAAGCUCUGUCCUUGGGGAAGAAGGCGAAAGCUUGACGGUACCCAAGAAGAAAGCCCCGGCUAACUACGUGCCAGCAGCCGCGGUAAUACGUAGGGGGCGAGCGUUGUCCGGAAUUACUGGGCGUAAAGGGUGCGUAGGCGGCCCUUUAAGUCGGAUGUGAAAGCCCGCGGCUUAACCGCGGAAUGGCAUUCGAAACUGGAGGGCUUGAGUGUCGGAGAGGGUAGUGGAAUUCCCAGUGUAGCGGUGAAAUGCGUAGAUAUUGGGAGGAACACUAGUGGCGAAGGCGACUACCUGGACGAUAACUGACGCUGAGGCACGAAAGCUAGGGGAGCAAACAGGAUUAGAUACCCUGGUAGUCCUAGCCGUAAACGAUGGGUACUAGGUGAGGGUGGUUUCGAUACCAUCCGUGCCGUAGUUAACGCAUUAAGUACCCCGCCUGGGGAGUACGUGCGCAAGCAUGAAACUCAAAUGAAUUGACGG